rnacentral:rRNA from 1 species
AGUGAACGCUGGCGGCGUGCUUAACACGUGCAAGUCGAACGAGAACGGAUUAUAGCUUGCUAUAAUUGUCAGCUAAGUGGCGCACGGGUGAGUAAUGUAUAGGUAAUAUGCCUCUUACUAAGGGAUAACAAAUGGAAACGUUUGCUAAUACCUUAUACUCCUUAUUAACAGAAGUUAAUAAGGGAAAGAUUUAUUGGUAAGAGAUUAGCCUGUAUUGUAUCAGUUAGUUGGUGGGGUAAUGGCUUACCAAGACGAUGACACAUAACUGGUUUGAGAGGAUGAUCAGUCACACUGGAACUGAGACACGGUCCAGACUCCUACGGGAGGCAGCAGUGGGGAAUAUUGCACAAUGGACGAAAGUCUGAUGCAGCAACGCCGCGUGGAGGAUGACACAUUUCGGUGCGUAAACUCCUUUUAUAUGAGAAGAUAAUGACGGUAUUAUAUGAAUAAGCACCGGCUAACUCCGUGCCAGCAGCCGCAGUAAUAC